rnacentral:rRNA from 1 species
ACGGAGGGUGCGAGCGUUGUUCGGAAUCACUGGGCGUAAAGGGCGUGUAGGCGGUCCGCUAAGUCUGAUGUGAAAGCCCGGGGCUCACCCCCGGAAGUGCAUUGGAAACUGGCGGACUCGAGUCCCGGAGAGGAGGGUGGAAUUCCUGGUGUAGCGGUGAAAUGCGUAGAUAUCAGGAGGAACACCGGUGGCGAAGGCGGCCACCUGGACGGAUACUGACGCUGAGACGCGAAAGCGUGGGUAGCAAACAGGA